AGACCCGAAACCCGGUGAUCUAGCCAUGGGCAGGUUGAAGGUUGGGUAACACUAACUGGAGGACCGAACCGACUAAUGUUGAAAAAUUAGCGGAUGACCUGUGGCUGGGGGUGAAAGGCCAAUCAAACCGGGAGAUAGCUGGUUCUCCCCGAAAGCUAUUUAGGUAGCGCCUCGUGAAUUCAUCUCCGGGGGUAGAGCACUGUUUCGGCUAGGGGGCCAUCCCGGCUUACCAACCCGAUGCAAACUGCGAAUACCGGAGAAUGUUAUCACGGGAGACACACGGCGGGUGCUAACGUCCGUCGUGAAGAGGGAAACAACCCAGACCGCCAGCUAAGGUCCCAAAGUCAUGGUUAAGUGGGAAACGAUGUGGGAAGGCCCAGACAGCCAGGAUGUUGGCUUAGAAGCAGCCAUCAUUUAAAGAAAGCGUAAUAGCUCACUGGUCGAGUCGGCCUGCGCGGAAGAUGUAACGGGGCUAAACCAUGCACCGAAGCUGCGGCAGCGAACGUAUCACCCAAGACAACUUUACGGAGUUGACGAUUGACGGAGCGAAGCGACGUCAAAGCGUUCAUUAAAGUCGAGUUGGCUUAGGGAUACGUUCGUUGGGUAGGGGAGCGUUCUGUAAGCCUGUGAAGGUGUGUCGUGAGGCAUGCUGGAGGUAUCAGAAGUGCGAAUGCUGACAUAAGUAACGAUAAAGCGGGUGAAAAGCCCGCUCGCCGGAAGACCAAGGGUUCCUGUCCAACGUUAAUCGGGGCAGGGUGAGUCGACCCCUAAGGCGAGGCCGAAAGGCGUAGUCGAUGGGAAACGGGUUAAUAUUCCCGUACUUGGUGUUACUGCGAAGGGGGGACGGAGAAGGCUAUGUUGGCCGGGCGACGGUUGUCCCGGUUUAAGCGUGUAGGUGUGUGUUCCAGGUAAAUCCGGUUCACUUUAACACUGAGGCGUGACGACGAGGCACUACGGUGCUGAAGCAACAAAUGCCCUGCUUCCAGGAAAAGCCUCUAAGCAUCAGGUA
rnacentral:rRNA from 2 species